rnacentral:rRNA from 1 species
AUGAAAGGGACCGGAUCUAGGCAAUUUCGCUACAGCGAGCUGGCAGCUGCCACCGACAACUUCUCAGACGACAAAAAGCUUGGGGAAGGCGGGUUUGGGUCAGUGUACAGAGGGUUCUUGAAGGGCUUGAGAAUUGAGGUGGCUAUCAAGAGAGUGUCCAAGGGCUCCAAGCAGGGGAGGAAGGAGUACGCCUCUGAGGUGAGGGUCAUAAGCCGGCUUCGGCACCGUAACCUGGUGCAGAUCGUUGGCUGGUGCCACGCCAGAGAGCAGCUCCUCCUGGUCUAUGCGCUGAUGCCCAACAGCAGCCUCGACGUUCACCUUCACCGUGCAGACAAUGUGCUGUGGUGGCCAGUAAGGCAUAAGAUCGUGCUGGGGAUCGGCUCCGCGCUUCUCUACCUGCAUGAGGAAUGGGAGCAGUGCGUUCUCCACAGGGACAUCAAGACGAGCAACAUGAUGCUGGACGCGUCGUUCAACGUCAAGCUUGGCGAUUUCGGGCUCGCCAGGCUCGUCGACCAUGACAGAGGGGCGCACACGACGGAGCUCGCCGGCACGCUGGGGUACAUGGACCCAGAGUGCACCGUCAGCGGGAGAUCCAGCACCGAGUCGGACGUCUACAGUUUCGGCGUCGUGCUGCUCGAGAUCGCGUGUGGACGGAGGCCCACCGUGGCUCGGCCGGACGGCACGCUGAUCCACCUGGCGCAGCGGGUAUCAGAGUUGUAUGGCCAAGGGAGGAUACUCGACGCAGCCGACGCACGGCUGGAUGGGAACUUCGACCCGCAGGAGAUGGAGCGCGUGCUAGCCGUCGGCCUCUGGUGCGCGUGCCACGACCGGGACCUAAGGCCGUCCAUAAGGCAGGCCAUCAACGUGCUCCGGUUGGAGGCGCCGCUUCCCGACAGGAUUCCGCCGGUUGGCCGUGCGGCCGGCCCUCUUCCCAUGCCAGACUCCGAUACGGGCCACAGCUCCGGCUCCACUCAGCAACUAAAUUAA